rnacentral:rRNA from 1 species
AGGACGAACGCUGGCGGCGUGCUUAACACAUGCAAGUCGAACGGAAAGGCCCGCUUGCGGGUACUCGAGUGGCGAACGGGUGAGUAACACGUGGGCAACCUGCCCUCAGCUUCGGGAUAACUCUCGGAAACGGGUGCUAAUACCGAAUGUUGACAUUUCCUCGCAUGGGGUUGUGUUGAAAGUUUUUCGGCUGGGGAUGGGCCCGCGGCCUAUCAGCUUGUUGGUGGGGUGAUGGCCUACCAAGGCGACGACGGGUAGCCGGCCUGAGAGGGCGAUCGGCCACACUGGAACUGAGACACGGUCCAGACUCCUACGGGAGGCAGCAGUGGGGAAUAUUGCGCAAUGGGCGGAAGCCUGACGCAGCGACGCCGCGUGAGGGAUGAAGGUCUUCGGAUUGUAAACCUCUUUCAGUAGGGACGAAUUUAGACGGUACCUGCAGAAGAGCACCGGCCAACUACGUGCCAGCAGCCGAC